GGGCUCAAAGAUAAAAAUGUGGUAUUUGGGCCCAGAUAACAUGGGGCAGGUAAAACCCAAGUACCUUCUGGUUCCUAACCCUAGUAUAAGGGAGGCUUUGUGUCUGCAAGAAAUUAUUGAGAUCGAGAGGGCGCGAGAGAGAAGGAUGUCGUUUCUAACACCCUUUAAGCGAGCCAACCAGUAUCUUCGUACACACAGGACAGUGGAUCGAACGUUGAGCCUUAUGGCUAUUGUUGCUAUCGGAUCCGCGUUCUGGAUUUCCAGUGGGCCCGACAAGAAACCAGACAAGGAUGAAGCUGUCCGAACUCGUUCCUAGACUCACCCAACUGUUAUUACUAACAUCUCUGGUGCGAUGUUAUAUAUAUAUAUAUUAAUCAACUCUUAUCGUCUCUUUAAUGGAGCUUUGUCCACUGAAUGUUGAGAUCUAACUGCUUGCAGUAAUUGCAAUUGUUAUUUAUUUACUAGACUAUGUUCUCAAUUUCAAUUGUGGGUAUUUGCGUGGAA